AUUGAACGCUGGCGGCAGGCUUAACAUAUGCAAGUCGAGCGGAGAGAGGUAGCUUGCUACUGAUCUUAGCGGCGGACGGGUGAGUAAUGCUUAGGAAUCUGCCUAUUAGUGGGGGACAACAUUUCGAAAGGAAUGCUAAUACCGCAUACGUCCUACGGGAGAAAGCAGGGGAUCUUCGGACCUUGCGCUAAUAGAUGAGCCUAAGUCGGAUUAGCUAGUUGGUGGGGUAAAGGCCUACCAAGGCGACGAUCUGUAGCGGGUCUGAGAGGAUGAUCCGCCACACUGGGACUGAGACACGGCCCAGACUCCUACGGGAGGCAGCAGUGGGGAAUAUUGGACAAUGGGCGGAAGCCUGAUCCAGCCAUGCCGCGUGUGUGAAGGAGGCCUUAUGGUUGUAAAGCACUUUAAGCGAGGAGGAGGCUACUUUAGUUAAUACCUAGAGAUAGUGGACGUUACUCGCAGAAUAAGCACCGGCUAACUCUGUGCCAGCAGCCGCGGUAA
rnacentral:rRNA from 1 species